CAGACCACUCAAGCCCGGCUUGUCAGUUGGAUCGGCGUCCCGGCCCAUGGACGGAUCCGAAAUGCAGCGGCGGCGCCGACCCGGUGUUCCCGAGCGAAUGGUAGAAUCUCUCAUAACAGGGUUAACAGGGCUCGUGGAACCCGACCGGGCGUCGGCCUCUCGCGGCGGUCUCUCCCUCCGGGGAGCGGCCCCGCAUCUCGAUAC
rnacentral:misc_RNA from 1 species